UUAAAACAUUUUUGUGGAAUCCCAAGCACGGCCUCUUUUGUAUCGUCUUGUGAUUCUGUGAUUCUGCACAUCCUGCUCUGUGGAGCUUCGCAGAUCUUGCUUUUCCUACGAUUCUGUUGCCACCUCUGUUCUGGGCACACAAGCGCGCUUACAGCUCAGAAUAGAUUCCAGCAUUUACCUGAUAGGUAAUCUCUUUCUGGAGCUGAUGUGGACAAUAAAAUUUCUCAUGUGGACCUCUGAGCUAGCACGGUACUAAGCUACAGUGAAUGAUGCCACAGUGAACACAGCAAUGCUGAUAUUUCUUCAGGAUCCAGAAGAAUGCACAGGUUUGCAAUAUUAAGAAUCAACUAUGCCUUUAAAGAGAAAGCAGAAGCAGUUCUUGUGGUUUAUGCGGACAACAGCUCAUCUUCAUGUGGAGAGGAAAAUCCUGGUUUUCACAGCGACCCACGACUACCCUUGACAUACUGUGGCUUGCAUCUGUAAUGAUUCACCAAACUGCUGUUAAAGACAAGACGUUACUCAGUGAACUUCAUGAUGCUGGUCUUGCUGAAGCAGGCAAAUACCUUCUACUUUGUUAAUGAUCUAUUUAAAUAAAAAAAUACUUGGCC